ACGAACGCUGGCGGCGCGCCUAACACAUGCAAGUCGAACGAGUGAGAGAGAGCUUGCUUUCUCGAGCGAGUGGCGAACGGGUGAGUAACGCGUGAGGAACCUGCCUCAAAGAGGGGGACAACAGUUGGAAACGACUGCUAAUACCGCAUAAGCCCACGGGUCGGCAUCGACCAGAGGGAAAAGGAGCAAUCCGCUUUGAGAUGGCCUCGCGUCCGAUUAGCUAGUUGGUGAGGUAACGGCCCACCAAGGCGACGAUCGGUAGCCGGACUGAGAGGUUGAACGGCCACAUUGGGACUGAGACACGGCCCAGACUCCUACGGGAGGCAGCAGUGGGGAAUAUUGCACAAUGGGGGAAACCCUGAUGCAGCGACGCCGCGUGGAGGAAGAAGGUCUUCGGAUUGUAAACUCCUGUUGUUGAGGAAGAUAAUGACGGUACUCAACAAGGAAGUGACGGCUAACUACGUGCCAGCAGCCGCGGUAAAACGUAGGUCACAAGCGUUGUCCGGAAUUACUGGGUGUAAAGGGAGCGCAGGCGGGAAGACAAGUUGGAAGUGAAAUCCAUGGGCUCAACCCAUGAACUGCUUUCAAAACUGUUUUUCUUGAGUAGUGCAGAGGUAGGCGGAAUUCCCGGUGUAGCGGUGGAAUGCGUAGAUAUCGGGAGGAACACCAGUGGCGAAGGCGGCCUACUGGGCACCAACUGACGCUGAGGCUCGAAAGUGUGGGUAGCAAACAGGAUUAGAUACCCUGGUAGUCCACACCGUAAACGAUGAUUACUAGGUGUUGGAGGAUUGACCCCUUCAGUGCCGCAGUUAACACAAUAAGUAAUCCACCUGGGGAGUACGACCGCAAGGUUGAAACUCAAAGGAAUUGACGGGGGCCCGCACAAGCAGUGGAGUAUGUGGUUUAAUUCGACGCAACGCGAAGAACCUUACCAAGUCUUGACAUCCUGCGACGAUGCUGGAAACAGUAUUUUCCUUCGGGACGCAGAGACAGGUGGUGCAUGGUUGUCGUCAGCUCGUGUCGUGAGAUGUUGGGUUAAGUCCCGCAACGAGCGCAACCCUUAUGGUCAGUUACUACGCAAGAGGACUCUGGCCAGACUGCCGUUGACAAAACGGAGGAAGGUGGGGAUGACGUCAAAUCAUCAUGCCCUUUAUGACUUGGGCUACACACGUACUACAAUGGCGCGCACAAAGGGUAGCGAGACCGCGAGGUGGAGCCAAUCCCAAAAAACGCGUCCCAGUCCGGAUUGGAGUCUGCAACUCGACUCCAUGAAGUCGGAAUCGCUAGUAAUUCGAGAUCAGCAUGCUCGGGUGAAUGCGUUCCCGGGCCUUGUACACACCGCCCGUCACACCAUGAGAGUUGGAAAUACCCGAAGCCUGUGAGCUAACCUAAGAGGCAGCAGUCGAAGGUAGAGCCAAUGAUUGGGGUG
rnacentral:rRNA from 1 species